ACUACAAUUAACAUCUCAUACCAUGUUGCUAAUUUGUCUUGGUCAUUUCUACCCUACGCUAUGCUCAAACAUAACUUGCUAAUAUAUAUCUAUAGUAAAAUGCUCCUGUGGUUCACCAUACAUAUUCUUGGUUCUUUGUGAAUAAAUAUCUUUAGUCUUGCAAACUUCCUUAUUCUAUUAUAAGUAUACUUUAGAAUAUUACUUAAACAUUAUGAAAAUCAAGCAUGCUUAUAUAAGAAUUUAGUUGUACAUAUAGACUAACACCUCCUACUUAAAAAAUGUUUAAAUCAUAUUAGGAGACUAUUCGUAGAAUCAAUUCAAGGUAUGCUUCAAAAUAAUAUCCUUGCUUUAACCUUGAUGAAAAAAUUGAAAUAGUAUUGAAUCAUUGAAAACAUGAGCUACAAAUCAAUCUUUAACUCUUAGGCAAACACGAUCCAUACUUUGAUAAAUAGUAUAUUCCUUUGGGUAUGUGUUCUCCACUUACCCCUUGCAGAAAAGACAUAAUGAGAGAAGCAUAAGGUCUGAAGAGUGAGAAAGGAGUACGACAUAAGAGACAAGAUGCUAAUGAAUAACCCAUGAUACAAGAAAAAAGAGAGAGAUAAUUGAAACUCAUUUACCCUUCAUCAUGCUCUAAUGGAGGUAACAUCUUAAGAUAAGUGGUCAUUAAUUUCCUCUUGAUCUUGGUAUGCAAUAAAUGAAAAUACAACCAUAUUAGAGUUACAACUUAAAUUGAUCAACCUGAUUAAACUCAACAUGAUUUGUUCUCUGAGUUUGUUCAUAGCGCUAUUCUUGUAAUCUCAGUCUUAACCGAGUAAGCUAGAAAUACUUUGUAUAUUAUUCUUGAUAUAUUAUAAAGAUGAAUAGCCUUUCUAAUGGUUAAGUAAAUUUACUCUUUAUCUCACAAAUUUAAAUAUCAUAUUAUACUUCUGGUCCUCUCACCCAUGAUAGGAAUGAAUAAUAUGAAUAAUAUCAAUCUUAUUGUGCCCAAAGUUAGAAGAUAAAUAAAUUUCUAGUUCUGUUAGUGUUUUCCCACCAAUAGAGCCCAUGCACUAGAUCUCUACCUUGUCUUUAUGAAAGUUUUCAACUAGUGUAUAAUGAUGCACAUAAGAUUGGCUUUGAGACGCCUACAAUAGAAAGAAAUAAGGUGGCACCGCUAUUGGGAACCACUAGUAGAGGCACCACCUCAAUCCUUACCGUUAAGAGCAACUCAAAGUACUCAAUGAACCACUACAAGGAGAAGUCCAGUUCGACGGACUAAAAACAUCGAAUCUCGCCAUAAGGUAACAUCAGUAGUUAUCUAUAUCUACUUCCUUACAUUGCAUGAGUUAAUUUCUCUUUACUAUGUUUACUUUUCUAGAUUGGCAAUGCAUAGAAAUAACAAAAAUAAAUAGUCUUGCAUUAGGCUACAUUCAUGCAUCUUAAAAAAAUAUUAAGCUCCAUGUGAAACCCUUGUAGUGUAAAAGCUGUAGGAGUUCUCACCAUGGUGGCCUAUAGAGAAAAAAUAAAAUAAAAAUAUAUAUCAUGCAUUUGCACUUUAUGCAUAUAAACCCAUAAAAUCCAAAAAAAAUAUUAACUGAGCAUCCUGCUGCAAUACUACUCUCUUAAAAAUACUUUACCACCACAACACCCAAUCCUCUAAAAAUGGUAAUCAUUAACGUUUUAUCCUAAUACCGUCCCACGAGUUUUGGUGUUUUGUGUUGCUUUCUACAGGAUGACUCCAAGAGCCAGCCUACCAAGGAAUCUUUAUCUUCAUCACUUGAAGUACACCUUUCUAACAUACAGCUGACCUCUGUAUGAAUGAAGUAACUUCUAGGGUGAUGAGAUUGAAGUAUUAUUAGCAACACGAAGGAGGUGGAGUUUGAAGAGUAGAGAGGGGUUUUGAGAAAAUGAAACGCAUAUUUUCUAUUGCACCAUUGGAAAGUUUGGAUAAGUCUCACCGGAUGCUAGCCUCGGAGGCAUCGGACACUGAUCCCGUGUGUC
rnacentral:lncRNA from 1 species